rnacentral:misc_RNA from 1 species
UGACGUGUUUUUAAAUUGUUAGUCAUUUUGAUUUCAUCCAUUGUUUAUGUUUAUUUUUGAUAUGUGUUGAACACAUGUAUAUUUUUUUUUGUAUGUGUAUAGUAUGUUAUGCUAUUGUCAUUGAUGUUACAGCUAGAUUAUUUUUUUUUUCAAUCAAAAAGGGGAGUGUACAGGUUGGGUGGGGAUGGGAGUUAUAUACGAUUUAAGAACGAUGUUCUUCGUUCUUAUGCCUGUACCUUUAGUAUUUUUGCUGUUGUGCCUAUUUCAUCAUCGCUAGUUUAAGAUUUUGUUAUUGAAUUCUCUUUGCUCCAAAAAAUAUUUGUAUACAUUUACCAACAAUUUCAACCAUGGCUUUGCGCGCAACUUGAAAAUAUUUUAUCUAUAUUGAUAAAAAAAAAAUACACGACAAGUAGACAGGGUGGACCAUAAUGGAUUUUAACUGUCGCUUAACGGGUUAUGAAUACGUAUGUGAUAAGAUUUAUAAGAAUAUGGAUACAUGUUGUAAAAAUUGAAGAAUCUUUUAAGAAAUUUUCGAAAGUAUACACAAAGUAAGGCAGGCGUUUAGCUUAAUUUUCAGAGAACAUUGGACAAAUGUUUGAGAGAUUAUUCAUACCUGUAUAAAGUACAUGUAUUUCGGUUUAGAAAACAGUUAUAGAUGUGUGCUUGUGUUUCGAGUUAAAUAUUAUUUUAGUUUAUUUAUUUUCGUGAGAUCGUUUGUAUUUCAUGACAAUUUUGUGGAUAAAUACGACGACGUGUAUACAUGUACUUUAAUCAUUGAAAAUUCAUCAAAUCGAACUUAUUACUAGAUUAAGUAUACGUUUUAGUUUGGUGAAAUUUAAACUUAUGAUGUAAAUGAUACACAUUUAUGUACUUGAUAUAAUAAAGUUUACUUCACCCAUCUUUAUAU